UUAGGGUAAUCCCAACCGUCUUCUCUUUUUCUCUCUUUUCCUUCCUCUUUUGCCUGAGGAUUUGGAUCUCAACACCAAACCAAUCUAUAUUUUUUCUCCUCUUUCAACACAAACAUUUGUUGUCCACCUCCUUUUGGUGUUUUGAUCCUUUUGCUCUUGACAUGGCAGAUAAGAAGAUGGCUCCCAAAAGAAAAUAAAGUGAAAGUGGAUCAACUUUUGACCAACCAACAAAAAAGGCUAGAGUAUAGAUGGGUUCGGGAAAUAAGGUGCUUACCGAUGGAACCACUUCAUAUGUGGGAGAUAUGGCUGAUUUGGUUUGGGACAUGGCGGUUCUUCUCGACACCAUGUAGGAUCCUGAAAGGUUGGUUCAUGAACUCUGAUGGGAGUUGAGCGCCACGCGAGCAAGGGUACUUCGUGAGAUUCAAAGGUGCAGGUGUUGAGAGGUGUGGUAGUUUGAGCGUUUGGGAGGGGAAAGAAAGAAUCAAUUACAAUUACUACAAGAAGUUAAGUUUGGUUUGGGUGAGUCCACAUCACUUAAACAAAAUGACAAGAAGAAAUCUAAUUGAAUUGGAACAAUUUUGAACCCAGCAGCAAUAAGGUUUGGAGUUUUUUAAACAAAUAAACCAUCUAUUGCAACAGAUAGGUCAUCUGUUGGAAAAACUUAAUCUGAUGGCAAGAACUGAAUUGUGUUCUUCCAGCAGAUCUGUUGCAAAAUAUGGCCCAUCUAUUGGAAGAACACAGUCCAUUAGCAAGGGGUUUGAGUUAUUCCAAUAGUUGACUCAUCUGUCGCAACAGAUGGAUCAUCUGUUGGAUGAACACAAUCCAGUGGCAGGAACUGUAUUUUGCUCUUCUAGCAGAUGGGCCAU